UCAUACUAGAGGUCCGCUGUAAGGUAACAUCAUACUAGAGGUCUGCUGUAAGGUAACAUCAUACUAGAGGUCCGCUGUAAAGUAACAUAAUACUAGAGGUCCGCUGUAAAGUAACAUAAUACUAGAGGUCCGCUGUAACGUAACAUAAUACUAGAGGUCCGCUGUAAAGUAACAUAAUACUAGAGGUCCGCUGUAAAGUAACAUAAUACUAGAGGUCCGCUGUAAAGUAACAUAAUACUAGAGGUCCGCUGUAAGGUAACAUAAUACUAGGGGUCCUCUGUAAGGUAACAUAAUACUAGAGGUCUGCUAUAAGGUAACAUAAUACUAGAGGUCCUCUGUAAGGUAACAUAAUACUAGAGGUCUGCUGUAAGGUAACGUAAUACUAGAGGUCCGCUGUAACGUAACGUAAUACUAGAGGUCCGCUGUAACGUAACGUAAUACUAGAGGUCCGCUGUAAGGUAACGUAAUACUAGGGGUCCUCUGUAAGGUAACAUAAUACUAGAGGUCUGCUAUAAGGUAACAUAAUACUAGAGGUCCUCUGUAAGGUAACAUAAUACUAGAGGUCUGCUGUAAGGUAACGUAAUACUAGAGGUCUGCUGUAAGGUAACGUAAUACUAGAGGUCUGCUGUAAGGUAACGUAAUACUAGAGGUCUGCUGUAAGGUAACGUAAUACUAGAGGUCUGCUGUAACGUAACAUAAUACUAGAGGUCCGCUGUAACGUAACAUAAUACUAGAGGUCCGCUGUAAGGUAACAUAAUACUAGAGGUCCUCUGUAAGGUAACAUAAUACUAGAGGUCCUCUGUAAGGUAACAUAAUACUAGAGGUCUGCUGUAAGGUAACGUAAUACUAGAGGUCUGCUGUAAGGUAACGUAAUACUAGAGGUCUGCUGUAAGGUAACGUAAUACUAGAGGUCUGCUGUAAGGUAACGUAAUACUAGAGGUCUGCUGUAACGUAACAUAAUACUAGAGGUCCGCUGUAACGUAACAUAAUACUAGAGGUCCGCUGUAAGGUAACAUAAUACUAGAGGUCCUCUGUAAGGUAACAUAAUACUAGAGGUCCUCUGUAAGGUAACAUAAUACUAGAGGUCCUCUGUAAGGUAACAUAAUACUAGAGGUCCUCUGUAAGGUAACAUAAUACUAGAGGUCUGCUGUAAGGUAACAUAAUACUAGAGGUCUGCUGUAAGGUAACGUAAUACUAGAGGUCUGCUGUAAGGUAACGUAAUACUAGAGGUCUGCUGUAAGGUAACGUAAUACUAGAGGUCCGCUGUAAGGUAACGUAAUACUAGAGGUCCUCUGUAAGGUAACGUAAUACUAGAGGUCUGCUGUAAGGUAACGUAAUACUAGAGGUCUGCUGUAAGGUAACGUAAUACUAGAGGUCUGCUGUAAGGUAACGUAAUACUAGAGGUCCGCUGUAAGGUAACGUAAUACUAGAGGUCCGCUGUAAGGUAACGUAAUACUAGAGGUCUGCUGUAAGGUAACGUAAUACUAGAGGUCUGCUGUAAGGUAACGUAAUACUAGAGGUCUGCUGUAAGGUAACGUAAUACUAGAGGUCUGCUGUAAGGUAACGUAAUACUAGAGGUCUGCUGUAAGGUAACGUAAUACUAGAGGUCCGCUGUAAGGUAACGUAAUACUAGAGGUCCGCUGUAAGGUAACGUAAUACUAGAGGUCCGCUGUAAGGUAACGUAAUACUAGAGGUCCGCUGUAAGGUAACGUAAUACUAGAGGUCUGCUGUAAGGUAACGUAAUACUAGAGGUCUGCUGUAAGGUAACGUAAUACUAGAGGUCUGCUGUAAGGUAACGUAAUACUAGAGGUCUGCCGUAAGGUAACGUAAUACUA